GACGAACGCUGGCGGCGUGCUUAACACAUGCAAGUCGAACGGAAAGGCCCUGCUCUUGUGGGGUGCUCGAGUGGCGAAAGGGUGAGUAAAACGUGAGUAAACUGCCCUUGACAUUGGGAUAACUUCAGGAAACUCGGGCUAAUACCGGACAGGAGCUCCUGCUGCAUGGUGGGGGUUGGAAAGUUUCGGCGGUUGGGGAUGGAAUCGCGGCUUAUCAGCUUGUUGGUGGGGUAGUGGCUUACCAAGGCUUUGACGAGUAGCCGGCCUGAGAGGGUGACCGGCCACAUUGGGACUGAGAUACGGCCCAGACUCCUACUGGAGGCAGCAGUGGGGAAUAUUGCACAAUGGGCGGAAGCCGGAUGCAGCAACGCCGCGUGCGGGAUGACGGCCUUCGGGUUGUAAACCGCUUUCGCCUGUGACGAAGCGUGAGUGACGGUAAUGGGUAAAGAAGCACCGGCUAACUACGUG
rnacentral:rRNA from 1 species